GACGAACGCUGGCGGCGUGCUUAACACAUGCAAGUCGAACGGAAAGGCCCUGCUUUUGUGGGGUGCUCGAGUGGCGAACGGGUGAGUAACACGUGAGUAACCUGCCCUUGACUUUGGGAUAACUUCAGGAAACUGGGGCUAAUACCGGAUAGGAGCUCCUGCUGCAUGGUGGGGGUUGGAAAGUUUCGGCGGUUGGGGAUGGACUCGCGGCUUAUCAGCUUGUUGGUGGGGUAGUGGCUUACCAAGGCUUUGACGGGUAGCCGGCCUGAGAGGGUGACCGGCCACAUUGGGACUGAGAUACGGCCCAGACUCCUACGGGAGGCAGCAGUGGGGAAUAUGGCACAAUGGGCGGAAGCCUGAUGCAGCAACGCCGCGUGCGGGAUGACGGCCUUCGGGUGGUAAACCGCUUUCGCCGGUGACGAAGCGGGAGUGACGGUAAUGGGUAAAGAAGCACCGGCUAACUACGUG
rnacentral:rRNA from 1 species